rnacentral:rRNA from 1 species
AGUUAAUACCUUUGCUCAUUGACGUUACCCGCAGAAGAAGCACCGGCUAACUCCGUGCCAGCAGCCGCGGUAAUACGGAGGGUGCAAGCGUUAAUCGGAAUUACUGGGCGUAAAGCGCACGCAGGCGGUUUGUUAAGUCAGAUGUGAAAUCCCCGGGCUCAACCUGGGAACUGCAUCUGAUACUGGCA